rnacentral:rRNA from 1 species
UACGAAGGGGGCAAGCGUUGUUCGGAAUUACUGGGCGUAAAGGGCGCGUAGGCGGCAUUGUUAGUUAGGCGUGAAAGCCCUGGGCUCAACCUGGGAAUUGCGUUUAAUACUGCGGUGCUAGAGUAUAGGAGAGGUUGGUGGAAUAUCCAGUGUAGAGGUGAAAUUCGUAGAUAUUGGAUAGAACACCGGUGGCGAAGGCGGCCAACUGGACUAUUACUGACGCUGAGGCGCGAAAGCGUGGGGAGCAAACAGGAUUAGAUACCCUGGUAGUCCACGCUGUAAACGAUGUAUGCUAGCUGUUGGGACCCGUUGGGUUUCGGUGGCGCCGCUAACGCAUUAAGCAUACCGCCUGGGGAGUACGGUCGCAAGAUUAAA